rnacentral:rRNA from 1 species
GAUGAACGCUGGCGGCGUGCCUAAUACAUGCAAGUCGAGCGAACGGACGAGAAGCUUGCUUCUCUGAUGUUAGCGGCGGACGGGUGAGUAACACGUGGAUAACCUACCUAUAAGACUGGGAUAACUUCGGGAAACCGGAGCUAAUACCGGAUGAUAUUUUGAACCGCAUGGUUCAAAAGUGAAAGACGGUCUUGCUGUCACUUAUAGAUGGAUCCGCGCUGCAUUAGCUAGUUGGUAAGGUAACGGCUUACCAAGGCAACGAUGCAUAGCCGACCUGAGAGGAUGAUCGGCCACACUGGAACUGAGACACGGUCCAGACUCCUACGGGAGGCAGCAGUAGGGAAUCUUCCGCAAUGGGCGAAAGCCUGACGCAGCAACGCCGCGUGAGUGAUGAAGGUCUUCGGAUCGUAAAACUCUGUUAUUAGGGAAGAACAUAUGUGUAAGUAACUGUGCACAUCUUGACGGUACCUAAUGAGAAAGCCACGGCUAACUACGUG